rnacentral:rRNA from 1 species
CCUACGGGUGGCAGCAGUGAGGAAUAUUGGUCAAUGGGCGCGAGCCUGAACCAGCCAAGUAGCGUGAAGGACGACUGUCCUACGGGUUGUAAACUUCUUUUAUAAAGGAAUAAAGUGAGGCACGUGUGCCUUUUUGUAGGUACUUUAUGAAUAAGGAUCGGCUAACUCCGUGCCAGCAGCCGCGGUAAUACGGAGGAUCCGAGCGUUAUCCGGAUUUAUUGGGUUUAAAGGGAGCGUAGAUGGGUUGUUAAGUCAGUUGUGAAAGCUUGCGGCUCAACCGUGAAAUUGCAAUUGAUACUGGCAGCCUUGAGAACAGUUGAGGUAGGCGGAAUGCGUAGUGUAGCGGUGAAAUGCUUAGAUAUCACGAAGAACUCCGAUUGCGAAGGCAGCAUACU